GACAGAGGAUGCAAGCGUUAUCCGGAAUGAUUGGGCGUAAAGCGUCUGUAGGUGGCUUUUUAAGUCCGCCGUCAAAUCCCCAGGGCUCAACCCUGGACAGGCGGUGGAAACUACCAAGCUGGAGUACGGUAGGGGCAGAGGGAAUUUCCGGUGGAGCGGUGAAAUGCGUAGAGAUCGGAAAGAACACCAACGGCGAAAGCACUCUACUGGGCCAUACUGACACUGAGAGACGAAAGCUAGGGGAGCAAAUGGG
rnacentral:rRNA from 1 species